rnacentral:rRNA from 1 species
CCUACGGGAGGCAGCAGUGAGGAAUAUUGGUCAAUGGACGAGAGUCUGAACCAGCCAAGUAGCGUGAAGGAUGACUGCCCUAUGGGUUGUAAACUUCUUUUAUAAAGGAAUAAAACGAGGCACGUGUGCCGUUUUGCAUGUACUUUAUGAAUAAGGAUCGGCUAACUCCGUGCCAGCAGCCGCGGUAAUACGGAGGAACCGAGCGUUAUCCGGAUUUAUUGGGUUUAAAGGGAGCGUAGAUGGGUUGUUAAGUCAGUUGUGAAAGUUUGCGGCUCAACCGUAAAAUUGCAAUUGAUACUGGCAGUCUUGAGUACAGUUGAGGUAGGCGGAAUUCGUGGUGUAGCGGUGAAAUGCUUAGAUAUCACGAAGAACCCCGAUUGCGAAGGCAGCUUACUAAACUGUGACUGACAUUGAUGCUCGAAAGUGUGGGUAUCAAACAGGAUUAGAUACCCCGGUAGUC